rnacentral:misc_RNA from 1 species
AAGGAGAAUUACCUACUGUUUAAUUUUGAGGGUUCGUUUUUACGAAUACUCAAAAUUAGCACUUUUAGCAACAGAAUAAACUGAACGCAUGUGAAGUUUGUUUGUUGGCGCUGUGCAUUAGCACUUUAAGCAACGGAAUUUAUUCGUUGGCGCUGUGCGUUAGCACUUUGAAAACUGCAUAUAUAUUUAGUGAUAUGACAUCUAAUUUGUAAUAUAUAAAGCUGAUAACUUUUUAAAAUUAUCGAAGUUGAUAGCUUCUAAUCUAUCAAACCUUUUUAAC